UGGGUGAAGAAGGCCUGCGGGUUGUAAAGCCCUUUCAGUGGGGAAGAAAAGCCUCGAGCUAACACCUCGGGGUCUUGACGUAACCCAUAGAAGAAGCACCGGCUAACUCUGUGCCAGCAGCCGCGGUAAUACAGAGGGUGCGAGCGUUAAUCGGAAUUACUGGGCGUAAAGCGCGCGUAGGCGGCUUUGCAAGUCGGGUGUGAAAUCCCCAGGCUUAACCUGGGAACUGCACUCGAGACUGCAUUGCUAGAGUAUGGGAGAGGGAAGUGGAAUUUCAGGUGUAGCGGUGAAAUGCGUAGAUAUCUGAAGGAACAUCAGUGGCGAAAGCGACUUCCUGGACCAAUACUGACGCUCAUGUGCGAAAGCGUGGGGAGCAAACAGGAUUAGAUACCCUGGUAGUCCACGCCAUAAACGAUGAGAACUGGAUGUCGGGAGGGUCUGCCUCUCGGUGUCGUAGCUAACGCGUUAAGUUCUCCGUCUGGGGAGUACGGCCGCAAGGUUG
rnacentral:rRNA from 1 species